GAUGAACGCUGGCGGCGUGCUUAACACAUGCAAGUCGAACGGAAAGGCUCCUGCUUGCCGGGGUACUCGAGUGGCGAACGGGUGAGUAACACGUGGGUGAUCUGCCCUGCACUUCGGGAUAAGCCUGGGAAACUGGGUCUAAUACCGGAUAGGACGAUGUGUUGGAUGCCAUUGUGGAAAGAUUUUCGGUGUGGGAUGAGCUCGCGGCCUAUCGGCUUGUUGGUGGGGUAAUGGCCUACCAAGGCGUCGACGGGAUGCCGGCCCGAGGGGGUGUACGGCCAUCCUGGGACUGAGGUAAGGCCCCGACUCCUACGGGAGGCAGCAGGGGGGAAUAUUGACCAAUGGGCGCAAGGCUGAUGCAGCGACGCCGCGUGGGGGAUGACGGUCUUCGGGUUGUAAACUCCUUUCGCUAGGGACGAAGCGUUUUGUGACGGUACCUGGAGAAGAAGCACCGGCUAACUACGUG
rnacentral:rRNA from 1 species